GCACAGAUGAUCGCGGCUGCAUAUGUGCAGGUGAGGAAAGUCCGGGCUUCAUAGGGCAGGAUGCCGGAUAACAUCCGGUGGAGGCGACUCCAAGGACAGUGCAACAGAAAUAAACCGCCAGCAGAUUUUGCUGGUAAGGGUGGAAAGGCAGUGUAAGAGACUACCGCAUUACUGGUAACAGUAUUGGCACAUGUAAACCCCAUCCGAAGCAAGACCAAACAAAAGCGUUAUUAAGGCUGCCCGUCAAGCUUUAGGUAGGUUGCUUGAGCCUGCUGGCAACAGCAGGACUAGAUAGAUGAUCAUCACAGCGUCAGCUGACAUAACCCGGCUUAUAGUGCUGCUCA
rnacentral:RNase_P_RNA from 1 species